GGUGGGAUGCCAGAGUGGUCGAAUGGGCCGCACUCGAAAUGCGGUAUACCCGAAAGGGUAUCGGGGGUUCAAAUCCCUCUCCCACCGCCA
rnacentral:tRNA from 1 species